ACGCGUGAGGAACCUGCCUCAAAGAGGGGGACAACAGUUGGAAACGACUGCUAAUACCGCAUAAGCCCGCGGGUCGGCAUCGACCUGAGGGAAAAGGAGUGAUCCGCUUUGAGAUGGCCUCGCGUCCGAUUAGCUAGUUGGUGAGGUAAUGGCCCACCAAGGCGACGAUCGGUAGCCGGACUGAGAGGUUGAACGGCCACAUUGGGACUGAGACACGGCCCAGACUCCUACGGGAGGCAGCAGUGGGGAAUAUUGCACAAUGGGGGAAACCCUGAUGCAGCGACGCCGCGUGGAGGAAGAAGGUCUUCGGAUUGUAAACUCCUGUUGUUGAGGAAGAUAAUGACGGUACUCAACAAGGAAGUGACGGCUAACUACGUGCCAGCAGCCGCGGUAAAACGUAGGUCACAAGCGUUGUCCGGAAUUACUGGGUGUAAAGGGAGCGCAGGCGGGAAGACAAGUUGGAAGUGAAAUCUAUGGGCUCAACCCAUAAACUGCUUUCAAAACUGUUUUUCUUGAGUAGUGCAGAGGUAGGCGGAAUUCCCGGUGUA
rnacentral:rRNA from 1 species